GAUGAACGCUGACCGAAUGCUUAACACAUGCAAGUCGAUGGGGAAGUGGUGCUUGCACCAUGGCAACCAUGGCGGACGGGUGAGUAACGCGUAAGGGACUUACCUGCAGGACUGGGAUAACAGGGGGAAACUCCUGACAAGACCGGAUAAUGUCAUGGAGCUGCAUGGCUUUAUGAUGAAAGGAGACGCCUGCGGAGAGCCUUGCGUCCUAUUAGCUAGUUGGUGAGGUAAUGGCUCACCAAGGCGAAGAUAGGUAGCCGGCCUGAGAGGGUGGACGGCCACAAGGGGACUGAGAUACGGCCCUUACUCCUACGGGAGGCAGCAGUGGGGAAUAGUGGACAAUGGGGGCAACCCUGAUCCAGCAAUUCUGUGUGCACGAAGAAGGUUUUCGAAUUGUAAAGUGCUUUCAGCAGGGAAGAAGUAAGUGACGGUACCUGCAGAAGAAGCGACGGCUAAAUACGUG
rnacentral:rRNA from 1 species